AAACCUCUUUCAGUAGGGACGAAGCGCAAGUGACGGUACCUACAGAAGAAGCACCGGCCAACUACGUGCCAGCAGCCGCGGUAAUACGUAGGGUGCGAGCGUUGUCCGGAAUUACUGGGCGUAAAGAGCUUGUAGGUGGUUUGUCGCGUUGUUCGUGAAAUCUCACGGCUUAACUGUGAGCGUGCGGGCGAUACGGGCAGACUAGAGUACUGCAGGGGAGACUGGAAUUCCUGGUGUAGCGGUGGAAUGCGCAGAUAUCAGGAGGAACACCGGUGGCGAAGGCGGGUCUCUGGGCAGUAACUGACGCUGAGAAGCGAAAGCGUGGGGAGCGAACAGGAUUAGAUACCCUGGUAGUCCACGCCGUAAACGGUGGGUACUAGGUGUGGGUUUCCUUCCUUGGGAUCCGUGCCGUAGCUAACGCAUUAAGUACCCCGCCU
rnacentral:rRNA from 1 species